rnacentral:rRNA from 1 species
UACGUAGGUGGCAAGCGUUGUCCGGAUUUACUGGGCGUAAAGGAUGCGUAGGCGGAUGUUUAAGUGAGAUGUGAAAUACCCGAGCUCAACUUGGGUGCUGCAUUUCAAACUGGAUAUCUAGAGUGCAGGAGAGGAAAGCGGAAUUCCUAGUGUAGCGGUGAAAUGCGUAGAGAUUAGGAAGAACACCAGUGGCGAAGGCGGCUUUCUGGACUGUAACUGACGCUGAGGCAUGAAAGCGUGGGGAGCGAACAGG